CCUACGGGUGGCAGCAGUGGGGAAUCUUCCGCAAUGGGCGAAAGCCUGACGGAGCAACGCCGCGUGAUCGAAUGAAGGCCUUCGGGUUGUAAAGAUCUGUUGACAGGGACGAAUAAGCAAUGCAAAUAGUUGUGUGUAUGACGGUACCUGUUUAGAAAGCUCCGGCUAACUACGUGCCAGCAGCCGCGGUAAUACGUAGGGAGCAAGCGUUGUCCGGAAUGACUGGGCUUAAUGGGCGCGUAGGUGGGCGCUUAAGUCAGGUGUGAAAGCUCCGGGCUCAACCUCGGGACUGCACUUGAAACUGGGUGUCUUGAGGGCAGGAGAGGAAAGUGGAAUUCCUGGUGUAGCGGUGAAAUGCGUAGAUAUUAGGAGGAACACCAGUGGCGAAGGCGACUUUCUGGACUCUCCCUGACGCUGAGGCGCGAAAGCGUGGGUAGCGAACGGGAUUAGAUACCCUUGUAGUC
rnacentral:rRNA from 1 species